rnacentral:rRNA from 1 species
AUUGAACGCUGGCGGCAGGCCUAACACAUGCAAGUCGAGCGGAAAAAGGGAGCGUGCACGUGGAUUGAGCGGCGGACGGGUGUGUAAUGCCCAGGAAUGUGCUGGGGAGUGGGGGAUAACGUCCGGAAAUGAGCCCCAAUACCGCAUACGUCCUGAGGGGGAAGGUGGGAGAUCCUCGGACGACACGCGAUCAGAUGAUCCUAGGUCGGAUUAGCUAGUUGGUGGGGUAAAGACCCACCAGGGCUACGAUCCGUAGCUGAUCUGAGAGGGUGACCAGCCACACUGGGACUGAGACACGGCCCAGACUCCGCCGGGAGGCAGCAGUGGGGCAUUUUGGACAAUGGGCGAAAGCCUGAUCCAGCCAUGCCGCGUGAGUGAAGAAGGCCUUCGGAUUGUAAAGCUCUUUCAGUGGGGAGGAAGGGUAAUAAGUUAAUACCUCGCUGUCUUGACGUUACCUGAAGAAUAAGCACCGGCUAACUCCGUG